UACAUUUUAUAUAUAUAAAAAUGAUAUUUGUAUAAUAUUUUGAUAUAUCCUAUCCUAACUUUAUCUUAACGAUGGGUGCAGCGUUAUGAUUCGGUAACAGAUUUCAUUGAACAAUUUGCAUUUGUAGUUGAAUCAUUAGAAAAUAUUUCUAAUUGGAAUGAUACCACAGCAACGGAAGAUAAUAUACUAUUAAAAGCUAUUGAUUCAGAAUUUCUUAUAUCCUUACAAGUUAUACAAUUGGUUUUUUCUUUUGGUUAACCAUUGUGUAAGUUGCUACAAAAAUAACAAAUUGAUUUGAGAGAAGCAGUAAGCCUUGCUGAAGAUAUUAUAAAUGUAUUAAAAAAUAUCAGGUUAAAUUGUGAUACUGAAUUCCACAAAUUGUUUUUGCUUGCAAAAGAGAUGUCAGUAAUUAUAGAUAUAGACUUGAAUACUAAAAUAAUAUCUGAACGACAAGUAAAUCGAGCAAAUCCAGAUCCCAAUUUAAGUGUUGAAGAGUACCACAAAGUGUCAGUAUUUAUACCCUACUGGACUUUUUUAUACAACAACUAGGAGAAAGAUUUUCAAUCCAUUCUGAAAUUUUUAAAGGAUUUUAAAGUCUAUUUUCCUAUACAUUAACUUCUAAUGAGGAGGUAUAAUUUAGAAAAUUACUUGAAUUUUAUUCACCUUCUUUGGAUGUGAACAACUCAAUUGCAGAAUUGAAAUUGUGGAAGAUAAAACAUGAGCAAAUAAACAAUAUUCCGAAAACUGCACUUGAAGCAUUACAUGUGUGUAAUGCUAAUAUUUAUCCAAAUGUGCAUUUUAUUUUAAAAAUACUAUGCACACUUCUUGUUUCUACAAGUACGCCUGAAAGAAUAUGUUCCAGUCUUAAAAGGAUAAAAACGUAUCUUCGAAACAGUAUGUCCGUGAAAAGACUUAAUGGUCUGGGAAUGUUGGCAAUUCAUAAUGAUAUUACAUUUUCAAAUAAAGAGAUCAUUGAUGAACUUGCCAAAAAGCCUAGGAAU